rnacentral:rRNA from 1 species
CCCUUAGAUGUUCUGGGCUGCACGCGUGCUACACUGAUAUUGCCAAUAUGUCAUUCUUAUCCGAAAUGGAUUGGGUAAUCAAGUAAUGAAAUUUCAUGCUUGGAAUCGGUAAUUGCAAUUUUAUCGUGAACGAGGAAUUCCUAGUAAGCACUAGUCAUCAGCUAAUGUUGAUUAUGUCCCUGCCCUUUGUACACACCGCCCGUCGCUACUACUGAUUGGGUGUUCAAGUGAGAUGCUUAGACCCUUGUUGCAUGGUUCAUCAUUGUGCUCCGAAAGGAAAAAGUUUCAAGCUUGAGUGUCUAGAGGAAGUAAAAGUCGUAACA